UACAGAGGCCUCGAGCGUUAGGCGGAAUCACUGGGCUUAAAGCGUGUGUAGGCGGACUUCUAAGUACCUUGUGAAAUCCCACGGCUCACCCGUGGAACUGCUUGGUAUACUGGUUGUCUUGAGCCUUCUAGGGGCGAGUGGAACAAAUGGUGGAGCGGUGAAAUGCGUAGAUAUCGGGAGGAACACCAGUGGCGAAGGCGGCGAUCUGGGAAGAUACUGACGCUGAGGUGCGAAAGCGUGGGGAGCAAACAGG
rnacentral:rRNA from 1 species